GCCUCUAUAGCUCAGUCGGUAGAGCGCAACCAUGGUAAGGUUGAGGUCAACAGUUCGAUUCUGUUUGGAGGCU
rnacentral:tRNA from 1 species